GUCUACAACCAUACCACCCUGAACGAGCCCGAUCCCUUCUAUUCUCGGAAGCUAAGCAGGGUCGGGCCUGGUUAGUACUUGGAUGGGAGACCACGUAGGAAUACCAGGUGCCGUAGGUG
rnacentral:rRNA from 1 species